UUUGAUCCUGGCUCAGAUUGAACGCUGGCGGCAUGCUUUACACAUGCAAGUCGAACGGCAGCGCGGGGCAACCUGGCGGCGAGUGGCGAACGGGUGAGUAAUAUAUCGGAACGUACCCAAGAGUGGGGGAUAACGUAGCGAAAGUUACGCUAAUACCGCAUACGAUCUAAGGAUGAAAGCAGGGGAUCUUCGGACCUUGUGCUCCUGGAGCGGCCGAUAUCUGAUUAGCUAGUUGGUGAGGUAAAGGCUCACCAAGGCCACGAUCAGUAGCUGGUCUGAGAGGACGACCAGCCACACUGGAACUGAGACACGGUCCAGACUCCUACGGGAGGCAGCAGUGGGGAAUUUUGGACAAUGGGCGAAAGCCUGAUCCAGCAAUGCCGCGUGAGUGAAGAAGGCCUUCGGGUUGUAAAGCUCUUUUGUCAGGGAAGAAACGGUGAGGGCUAAUAUCCCUCGCUAAUGACGGUACCUGAAGAAUAAGCACCGGCUAACUACGUG
rnacentral:rRNA from 1 species